GAGUUUGAUCCUGGCUCAGGAUGAACGCUGGCGGCGUGCUUAACACAUGCAAGUCGAACGGUGAAGCCCAGCUUGCUGGGUGGAUCAGUGGCGAACGGGUGAGUAACACGUGAGCAAUCUGCCCCUGACUCUGGGAUAAGCGCUGGAAACGGCGUCUAAUACUGGAUAUGAAUCGUGGCCGCAUGGUCGACGGUUGGAAAGAUUUUUCGGUCUGGGAUGAGCUCGCGGCCUAUCAGCUUGUUGGUGAGGUAAUGGCUCACCAAGGCGUCGACGGGUAGCCGGCCUGAGAGGGUGACCGGCCACACUGGGACUGAGACACGGCCCAGACUCCUACGGGAGGCAGCAGUGGGGAAUAUUGCACAAUGGGCGCAAGCCUGAUGCAGCAACGCCGCGUGAGGGACGACGGCCUUCGGGUUGUAAACCUCUUUUAGCAGGGAAGAAGCGAAAGUGACGGUACCUGCAGAAAAAGCGCCGGCUAACUACGUGCCAGCAGCCGCGGUAAUACGUAGGGCGCAAGCGUUAUCCGGAAUUAUUGGGCGUAAAGAGCUCGUAGGCGGUUUGUCGCGUCUGCUGUGAAAUCCCGAGGCUCAACCUCGGGCCUGCAGUGGGUACGGGCAGACUAGAGUGCGGUAGGGGAGAUUGGAAUUCCUGGUGUAGCGGUGGAAUGCGCAGAUAUCAGGAGGAACACCGAUGGCGAAGGGCAGAUCUCUGGGCCGUAACUGACGCUGAGGAGCGAAAGGGUGGGGAGCAAACAGGCUUAGAUACCCUGGUAGUCCACCCUGUAAACGUUGGGAACUAGUUGUGGGGUCCAUUCCACGGAUUCCGUGACGCAGCUAACGCAUUAAGUUCCCCGCCUGGGGAGUACGGCCGCAAGGCUAAAACUCAAAGGAAUUGACGGGGACCCGCACAAGCGGCGGAGCAUGCGGAUUAAUUCGAUGCAACGCGAAGAACCUUACCAAGGCUUGACAUACACGAGAACGCUGCAGAAAUGCAGAACUCUUUGGACACUCGUGAACAGGUGGUGCAUGGUUGUCGUCAGCUCGUGUCGUGAGAUGUUGGGUUAAGUCCCGCAACGAGCGCAACCCUCGUUCUAUGUUGCCAGCACGUAAUGGUGGGAACUCAUGGGAUACUGCCGGGGUCAACUCGGAGGAAGGUGGGGAUGACGUCAAAUCAUCAUGCCCCUUAUGUCUUGGGCUUCACGCAUGCUACAAUGGCCGGUACAAAGGGCUGCAAUACCGUGAGGUGGAGCGAAUCCCAAAAAGCCGGUCCCAGUUCGGAUUGAGGUCUGCAACUCGACCUCAUGAAGUCGGAGUCGCUAGUAAUCGCAGAUCAGCAACGCUGCGGUGAAUACGUUCCCGGGUCUUGUACACACCGCCCGUCAAGUCAUGAAAGUCGGUAACACCUGAAGCCGGUGGCCCAACCCUUGUGGAGGGAGCCGUCGAAGGUGGGAUCGGUAAUUAGGACUAAGUCGUAACAAGGUAACCA
rnacentral:rRNA from 1 species